rnacentral:rRNA from 1 species
AUUAAUAGUGAAUGGCUGUUGUGGUGUGUUUGCGCAUGCUGCGAUGGUUCAUUUCCUGACCCUUGUGAAUGUAUCUAUGAAAGUGGUGGAUGGCUUGAGAGCGUGCGCGUCAGCGUGUGCGAUCGAGUCGUUGGCCAUGCGAUCUGCGUGACGCUUUGGCUAGCGCGAUUGCCUUUUAUUCCAAACACUAUGGUUAUAAAACAAGUGACAUGUGCCAAUUUGGCGUGACCUACCAAAUCGUAAUAACUUUUAACAAUGGAUCUCUUGGCUCUUGCAACGAUGAAGAACGCAGCAAUAUGCGAUAACUAAUGUGACUCGCAACAGCUCGUGAAUCAUCAAGUUUUUGAACGCACAUUGCACUUCCUGGUAUUCCGGGAAGUACACCUGUUUGAGUAUCAUUCAACCCUCACACGAACCUAUAUGUGCUUGCCUUUGUUGGUGAGCGGUUGUGUGGACGUGGGCUUUUCACCCGAAGUAGGGGAUGGCGCGAGCGAUCCUCUAGGGCGAAGCUUGAAAAGGAGCGAUCCCAGCUUUGUUGCGAUAAAAGCGAGAUAAAUGUUUCCGCUUUGUAGCACCGCGCAUUGGGGUUGUUAGUGGUACAUUCGCAAGAAUGCAACGCACCUUAUUGAUCUCAAAUCAGGUGGGAGGACCCGCUGAACUUAAGGAUAUCAAUAAGCGGAGG